rnacentral:rRNA from 1 species
CCUACGUGUGGCAGCAGUGAGGAAUAUUGGUCAAUGGGCGCGAGCCUGAACCAGCCAAGUCGCGUGAGGGAAGACGGCCCUACGGGUUGUAAACCUCUUUUGCCGGGGGGCAACGGGCGCCACGUGUGGCGCCACUGAGAGUAGCCGGAGAAAAAGCAUCGGCUAACUCCGUGCCAGCAGCCGCGGUAAUCCGGAGGAUGCGCGCGUUAUCCGGAUUUAUUGGGUUUAAAGGGUGCGUAGGCGGAGCGUUAAGUCAGUGGUCACAUUGAGGGGCUCAACCCCUUCCCGCCAUUGAAACUGGCGCUCUUGAGUGGAAGAGAAGUAUGCGGAAUGCGUGGUGUAGCGGUGAAAUGCAUAGAUAGCACGCAGAACCCCGAUUGCGAAGGCAGCAUGCCGGCUUCCUACUGACGCUGAAGCACGAAAGCGUGGGGAUCGAACAGGAUUAGAGACCCGAGUAGUC